rnacentral:lncRNA from 1 species
CCGCCCCCUUCCAGGUUGUUGGGGUGGGAGCUGCCGGAUGAGCUGCUGCGGCCCUCGGGGCGCAGGACCACACCAUCUGCGCAGCCUGCACCCUCGCGGCCCGGUAAACUUGACAGUUUCUUAUAGAGCACAGAAGCCGUGGUGGUGUCAUGGAAUAUUGUCAAUUUCGGUUACAUUUCAUCAUGGUCAAGUCAACUCCAGGAGGCAGCAUCAUGGACGAUUUGGCUUAUGUUCUGCUUUUGUCUUCUACAGAACCUUGUGUCUCACUGUUGUCUCCUUCCUGGCUGGGGUUAUCACAUGGCAUAUCCAACUGUGCUGGAGAGUCAGAAUAGCUGAGUGACUGAGUGCACAAUCCCUAAAGUGCAAUUUAUGAGCUGAGUGACCUCAGGAUUCCAUGGAAAGCUUGUGUUUACCCUCAAUAGUUAGAGACGUACAAGGAUGGAGAGGGAACAGAGCCAUCUUCCCAGAACCAACUUCUGCCAGAGGAGUCCCAUGAUAAUCCCAGCCAAAAGAACGAAAACAUGAGUAAUGGCUGUGACAUAAGAAAAUCCUAAGAGAGAAAACAGAGAAAAAGUUUUACGUGAGCGCCACAUUCCAGUUUGCAGAGUUAAGAUAGAUGAGGACAUUCAUUAAAUUCAUGUAUUAAUUCUAAUUCAAGAUGCACUGAAUUUCCAUCAUGUGAAUCAGAUGUUUUAUUUAUUUCUCUCUCAUUGUAUGGAUAAUGUCUAUAACUAGAGAAUGAGACUCAAUCCUACCUUUUCUUCCAAACUGUCUAUCUUCACUAGGGUGGAGUUCUUGUCUAUGCAGUCCUUUCUACUGUUAGCCCAGGUUUUCUCCUCAUUUGUUGUAAAAUAGUAGCAACUAUUUUGGUACCAUUGCCACAUCUUAGGACAUGGAUUACAUCUGUGGUCUGAAAAGGAAAUUAUACCCAAUAAUAUAAACUGAAGACUCUAGAGUGACUGGAGAAGGCUUUGAAACAAAAUCAUGUAAUUGAACAAUAGGGACUGAGAGCCUGCACCCUGAAAGCAUACUGCUUUAGAAGCCUCUGAAAAAAAAGUGACCCCUGGUUAUGGGUUGGGGCAACAGGGAUUCUCUUUUCAUGGCUUAGUCUUCUGACCUCAGAAUUACCAGCUAUGCCUUUAAGCUUUCAGAGCAACAUGAUCACCUAGAAAUAGUUAAUAAAAUGAGGGGUUGAAGUAUCCAGAUUGAUAUCAUUCCAAGAUACUUCCCAAAUUUGCCUGUGGUUUCAAAAAUAUUAAAUGAAUUUGUAUAUUUCCUUGCUGUGUGUAAAUUUAGUGCAACAUCAUUAAGGUUCACUGGAUGACAUAACUCUCUCAAUACUCUUAGGUGGUACAUGUGAUCAACUUAGACCAGGAUAACAUAUGCCAUCUGACUGGUCAGCAGGACUAAGUCUGAUUACC